rnacentral:rRNA from 1 species
UACGGAGGGUGCGAGCGUUAAUCGGAAUUACUGGGCGUAAAGCGUGCGUAGGCGGCUCGCUAAGUCAGAUGUGAAAGCCCUGGGCUCAACCUGGGAACGGCAUUUGAAACUGGCGAGCUAGAGUUUGGGAGAGGAGAGUGGAAUUUCAGGUGUAGCGGUGUAAUGCGUAGAGAUCUGAAGGAACACCAGUGGCGAAAGCACUUUACUGGGCUAUUACUAACACUCAGAGACGAAAGCUAGGGUAGCAAAUGGG